rnacentral:rRNA from 1 species
UAGAGUUUGAUCCUGGCUCAGAUUGAACGCUGGCGGAAUGCUUUACACAUGCAAGUCGAACGGCAGCAUAGAGAGCUUGCUCUCUGAUGGCGAGUGGCGAACGGGUGAGUAAUAUAUCGGAACGUACCUAGUAAUGGGGAAUAACUAAUCGAAAGAUUAGCUAAUGCCGCAUACGACCUACGGGUGAAAGCAGGGGAUCUUCGGACCUUGCGUUAUUAGAGCGGCCGAUAUCUGAUUAGGUUGUUGGUGGGGUAAAAGCCUACCAAGCCUGCGAUCAGUAGCUGGUCUGAGAGGACGAUCAGCCACACUGGAACUGAGACACGGUCCAGACUCCUACGGGAGGCAGCAGUGGGGAAUUUUGGACAAUGGGGGCAACCCUGAUCCAGCCAUUCCGCGUGAGUGAAGAAGGCCUUCGGGUUGUAAAGCUCUUUCGCAAGAGAAGAAAUCUUACUAUCAAGUAAAUAGUAAGGAUGACGGUAUCUUGAUAAGAAGCACCGGCUAACUACGUGCCAGCAGCCGCGGUAAUACGUAGGGUGCGAGCGUUAAUCGGAAUUACUGGGCGUAAAGCGUGCGCAGGCGGUCUUAUAAGUCAGAUGUGAAAUCCCCGAGCUCAACUUGGGAACUGCGUUUGAAACUAUAAGACUAGAGUGUGUCAGAGGGGGGUAGAAUUCCAUGUGUAGCAGUGAAAUGCGUAGAUAUGUGGAGGAAUACCAAUGGCGAAGGCAGCCCCCUGGGAUAACACUGACGCUCAUGCACGAAAGCGUGGGGAGCAAACAGGAUUAGAUACCCUGUAGUCCACGCCCUAAACGAUGUCUACCAGUUGUUGGUGGAGUAAAAUCCAUGAGUAACGCAGCUAACGCGUGAAGUAGACCGCCUGGGGAGUACGGUCGCAAGAUUAAAACUCAAAGGAAUUGACGGGGGCCCGCACAAGCGGUGGAUUAUGUGGAUUAAUUCGAUGCAACGCGAAAAACCUUACCUGGCCUUGACAUGUACCGAAUUUAGCAGAGAUGCUUUAGUGCUCGAAAGAGAACGGUAACACAGGUGCUGCAUGGCUGUCGUCAGCUCGUGUCGUGAGAUGUUGGGUUAAGUCCCGCAACGAGCGCAACCCUUACCAUUAAUUGCCAUCAUUUAGUUGGGCACUUUAAUGGGACUGCCGGUGACAAACCGGAGGAAGGUGGGGAUGACGUCAAGUCCUCAUGGCCCUUAUGGCCAGGGCUUCACACGUAAUACAAUGGUCGGUACAGAGGGUAGCCAACCCGCGAGGGGGAGCAAAUCCCAGAAAGCCGGUCGUAGUCCGGAUUGUUGUCUGCAACUCGACAGCAUGAAGUCGGAAUCGCUAGUAAUCGCGGAUCAGAAUGUCGCGGUGAAUACGUUCCCGGGCCUUGUACACACCGCCCGUCACACCAUGGGAGUGGGUUUUACCAGAAGUAGUUAGUCUGACCGCAAGGAGGACGAUUACCACGGUAGGAUUCAUGACUGGGGUGAAGUCGUAACAAGGUAACCA